GACGAACGCUGGCGGCGUGCUUAACACAUGCCAGUCGAACGGAAAGGCCCUGCUUGCCGGGUACUCGCGUGGCGAACGGGUGAGUAACACGUGGGUGAUCUGCCCUCCACUUCGGGAUAAGCCUGGGAAACUGGGUCUACUACCGGAUGGGAGCCAUUUUUAGUGUGAUGGUUGUAAAGUUUUUUCGGUGUAGCAUGAGCUCGCGGCCUAUCAGCUUGUUGGUGGGGUAAUGGCCUACCAAGGCGGCGCCGGGUAGCCGGCGUGAGAGGGUGGACGGCCACAUUGGGACUGAGAUACGGCCCAGACUCCUACGGGAGGCAGCAGUGGGGAAGAUUGCACAAUGGGCGCAAGCCUGAUGCAGCGACGCCGCGUGGGGGAGGACGGCCUUCGGGUUGUAAACUCCGUUCGCUAGGGACGAAGCUUUUUGUGACGGUACCUAGAUAAGAAGCACCGGCUAACUACGUG
rnacentral:rRNA from 1 species